AAUCAACGCUGGCGGCGUGCCUAACACAUGCAAGUCGAACGAGAAAGUGGAGCAAUCCACAAGUAAAGUGGCGCACGGGUGAGUAACACGUGACUAACCUACCCUUGAGUGGGGGAUAACCUAGGGAACUGGGCUAAUACCGCAUAAUACCUAUGGGUCAAAGGAAGCAAUUCGCUUUUGGAGGGGUCGCGGCAGAUUAGUUAGUUGGCGAGGUAAUGGCCUACCAAGACGAUGANCUGUAUCCGGCCUGAGA
rnacentral:rRNA from 1 species